rnacentral:rRNA from 1 species
GACAGAGGGUGCAAGCGUUGUCCGGAGUUACUGGGCGUAAAGGGCGCGGAGGCGGUCUGAUGCGUCGGCUCUGAAAGCCCCCCGCUUAACGGGGGGAUGGGUGCCGAUACGCGCGGGCUCGAGGCGAGCAGAGGGUGGUGGAAUUCCGGGUGGAGCGGUGAAAUGCGUAGAGAUCCGGAGGAACGCCAGUGGGGAAGCCGGCCACCUGGGCUCGACCUGACGCUGCGGCGCGACAGCGUGGGGAGCAAACCGG